GUUAAUAACAGCCACCAAGUCUUGCAAAAUCCACACACCUCAGAAUGACACUAAUGCUACUUCCUCACAACACAAACAUUCUUGUGGAACACAUGUAUACAAUUUCCAACCAUGACAGUAAUAAUAACUCAAUAUAGCUCUUCUUUCCCAUUUUCUUUGUUGAUAUGUAGCACCCGAAAUUAAUCAAAAUUCAACAAAAAAUCAUUUGUAGAACCACUAUUGCUUCUAAAAUUCAGAAUUGUUACCAAAAUUCACAAUUCCUUUUGCAGAGUCCAAGGUAGGAAACACGUUUUCGAUGGGACGACACAACUGAGAUGAGAGAUACAAUGGGAUGAUAAAGCCGAAAUUGAAAAUUGAAAUCCCAAAUCAAAAUAAUAAUCGUGACUAAUUUAUGUGUUUUUGGGAUUUAGGGUUUUAGCUGUUUCUCUGUAAAACAGAUAUCGAAAACAUGAUUGAGAGAAGAGGUCGAAAAUUCAGAAGAUUCAUGAUAAGAAAUUGUUGAUGAAUAG
rnacentral:lncRNA from 1 species